UCUGUACUCUGUUGCUCUAAUAAACUUGCU
rnacentral:piRNA from 1 species